UUAGUCCUGGGGUGUACGACAAUCUUACUUUUUUGAACCUACAUUUACGUUCAUGGGAUUCCAACAUUUAUAAGUGGAUGUCGAGCCUCCUUUGCAGUGGAUGGCUGAAGCUUAUGUGAGGUCGCCCACCUAGCUUGAGCUAGGGCGUCAAAACUGUAGGAAACGGCAUUUUGGGAUAUGA
rnacentral:other from 1 species